GCGUGCGUAGGCGGCUUUUUAAGUCGGAUGUGAAAUACCCCGACGCUUAACUUGGGAAUUGCAUUCGAUACUGGGAAGCUAGAGUAUGGGAGAGGAUGGGUAGAAUUCCAGGUGUAGCGGUGAAAUGCGUAGAGAUCUGGAGGAAUACCGAUGGCGAAGGCAGCCAUCUGGCCUAAUACUGACGCUGAGGUACGAAAGCAUGGGGAGCAAACAGGAUUAGAUACCCGAGU
rnacentral:rRNA from 1 species